CGAAAUCCUGUGAGCAAAAGUAAGUAGUUGUGUGAGGGAGUAUCAGAGAGCUGUCGGUAGGUGCGAGACAGUACAAGGGCAUACAAUGAAUGGGUUUGUGAGGAGCGGAGCUAAAGUUAUUUACGAGUAUCUCCUGCCGUGUUCCCUACGUUAGUGCGGAAGGGUAUUGAUCUUGAGGGUGUUUCCUGAUAGUGCGUACCUUGUGAGCCGACAAUAUUAUUGUCGGGAAAAUGGGUGGCACCACGGUUCUAUCGUCCCAUGA
rnacentral:ncRNA from 1 species